rnacentral:rRNA from 1 species
UACGUAGGCAGCAAGCGUUGUUCGGAGUUACUGGGCGUAAAGGGUGUGUAGGCGGUUCCUUAAGUUUGCUGUGAAAUCUCCCGGCUUAACCGGGAGGGUGCGGUGAAUACUGAGGGACUAGAGUACGGGAGAGGAAAGUGGAAUUCCGUGUGGUAGCGGUGAAAUGCGUAGAUAUCAGGAGGAACACCGGUGGUGUAGACGGCUUUCUGGACCGUAACUGACGCUGAGACACGAAAGCGUGGGUAGCAAACAGG